rnacentral:rRNA from 1 species
UUGGUGAUUCAUAAUAACUUAACGAAUCGCAUGGCCUUGUGCCGGCGAUGGUUCAUUCAAAUUUCUGCCCUAUCAACUUUCGAUGGUAGAGUAGUGGUCUACCAUGGUUUCAACGGGUAACGGGGAAUUAGGGUUCUAUUCCGGAGAGGGAGCCUGAGAAACGGCUACCACAUCCAAGGAAGGCAGCAGGCGCGCAAAUUACCCAAUCCCGACACGGGGAGGUAGUGACAAUAAAUACUGAUACAGGGCUCUUUUGGGUCUUGUAAUUGGAAUGAGUACAAUUUAAAUCCCUUAACGAGGAACAAUUGGAGGGCAAGUCUGGUGCCAGCAGCCGCGGUAAUUCCAGCUCCAAUAGCGUAUAUUAAAGUUGUUGCAGUUAAAAAGCUCGUAGUUGAACCUUGGGCCUGGCUGGCCGGUCCGCCUCACCGCGUGCACUGGUCCGGCCGGGCCUUUCCUUCUGGGGAGCCGCAUGCCCUUCACUGGGUGUGUCGGGGAACCAGGACUUUUACUUUGAAAAAAUUAGAGUGUUCAAAGCAGGCCUAUGCUCGAAUACAUUAGCAUGGAAUAAUAGAAUAGGACGUGUGGUUCUAUUAGAGGUUUCUAGGACCGGCGUAAUGGAUUAUAGGGAUAGUCCGGGGGCAUCAGUUAUUCCAAUUUGGUCAGAAGGUGAAAUUCUUGGGAAUUUAUUGGAAGAACUAAUUAUUGGGAAAAGGCAUUUGGCCAAGGAUGUUUUCCAUUUAAUCCAC